rfam:Aedes albopictus isolate Foshan contig48582, whole genome shotgun sequence.
UGUUCUGUGGCUUAGUUGGUUAAAGCACCGGCCGAGCGAAUACGGAGUCGUGGGUUCGAAUCCCACAAGAACGC